rnacentral:lncRNA from 1 species
AAACAAAGUCACUCAAGUGGGACAGUAAGAUUUUCUCUGAGGCUGGCACUGGUGCCUGCCUCUGCUCCGGGGAAUCCAGACGUGGCACCCGGAGUUGGGCCUCAUCCAUCCUCAGCUUUCAUUUGUGACCAAGCCUGACUCAGAAUGGGCUGGCAGUUUUCCUGAGUACAUGGGAGUUAGGGCAGAGAACAUGAUGUGGUGCUGGUAGUCAACGCAAGCUGGCACGGCCUCAGCCAGAAGACUGGAGCUAGGAGCAAGCAAAGGAACAUUGCCCUGAGACAGACAUCCAUGAAGAAGCCUGGGAUGAAAGACCACAUGGAGAGAAAGGCCCACCAUCAUUCUGCACCAACUACCAACGGCGUAAGGGAGGUUGACUUGGAUCUCCCACCCCAGUUGACUCUCCAGCUGAAAGCAACUGCCUGAGCCCAAACAAAACCUGCUGAGGAACCUCCCUGCUAGCAAAUGGAAUCAGGAGAAAUAAUAAAUAGUUCUGUUGUUUUAAGUCACCAACUCACAAACGGAGUAUAAGAAAUAAUCAAUGGAUGUAGUUUUAAGUCUCUAUGUGUUGGGAUGGUUUGAUAUAACAAUAGGUAACUGAAACAGUAGAAGAUUAGAAAGAGGAAAAAUAAUCACCCAUAAUCCCAUCACAUAAAGAUGACUGCUCUUUUUUUUUUUUUUUUUUUUUGAGAUGAAGUCCACUCUGCCACCCAGGCUGGAGUGCAGUGGCACAAUCUUGGCUCACUGCAACCUCUGCUUCCUGGGUUCAAGUGAUUCUCCUGCCUCAGCCUGCAGAGUAGCUGGGACUAAGGCGUGUGCGACCAUGCCCGGCUAAUUUUUUUUUUUUUGUGUGUGUGUUUUUAUUAGAGACGGGUUUUCACUAUGUUGGCCAGGCUGGUCUCAAACUCCUGACUUCAGGCGAUCCACCUGCCUCAGCCUCCCAAAGUGCUGAGAUUACAGGCGUGAACCACCAUGCCUGGCCAAAGAUGACUGUUCUUAACAUCCGUAAGUUUUUCCUUUCGCUCUCUUUUUUUUCUACACAUAUUUUUCAACAUUUUAUUCUGAAAAUUUUCAAACACAUAAAGUGAACAUUCCAUACCCACUACUUAGAUUCUACAAUUAUCUUAUUUUUAGUGCAUUUCAAAGCAAUGAACAUCAGUACCCUUCACCUAUAAAUACUUUAGCAUUCUGGAUAUGUUUUAAGUAGUUGUAAUAAUAAAAUGCCUAAUAUGUACUUUUA